rnacentral:rRNA from 1 species
GUUACCAGCACUUCGGGUGGGGACUCUAGUUAGACUGCCGAUGAUAAAUCGGAGGAAGGUGGGGAUGACGUCAAAUCAUCAUGCCCUUUAUGUCCCUGGGCUACACACGUGCUACAAUGGUCGGUACAGAGGGCAGCGAGACUGUGAAGUUUAAGCGAAUCUCAGAAAGCCGACCCCAGUUCGGAUUGCAGGCUGCAACUCGCCUGCAUGAAGUCGGAGUUGCUAGUAAUCGCAGAUCAGAAUGCUGCGGUGAAUGCGUUCCCGGGUCCUU